CAAACGACUCUCGGCAACGGAUAUCUCGGCUCUCGCAUCGAUGGAGAAUGUAGCGAAAUGCGAUAGUUGGUGUGAAUUGCAGAAUCCCGUGAACCAUCGAGUCUUUGAACGCAAGUUGUGCCCAAAGCCCUUAGGCCAAGGGCAUGUCUGCCUGGGCGUCACGC
rnacentral:rRNA from 1 species